rnacentral:lncRNA from 1 species
CUUUUCUCCCACGGCAUAUGAAAGUUCCCAGGCUAGGGGUUUAAUCAGAGCUGUAGCUGCCAGCCUACGCCAGAGCCACAGCAACUCGGGAUCCAAGCUGCGUCUGCAACCUACACCGUAGCUCACGGCAACGCCGGAUCCUUAACCCCCUGAGCAAGGCCAGGGAUCGAACCCUCCACCUCAUGGUUCCUAGUCGGAUUCGUUAACCACUGCGCCACAGUGGGAACUCCCUCCUCUUCCUCUUUCCUCGAGUAGUAGCUCCUCCUUGGUAUCCAGUGAGAGAGUAUUUGAUCCCAUAAGGUCCGACUAGGACUGUCAAGGGGCUUAUUGAAGUCAGCAGAAGGGUGGUCCUCAAACUCCUGCCCUUGGUCUGAACUUGAACGCAGCCCCACCCCAUCCCCCACCCAAUGAGGCCGAUCUCAGCCUCCACGAGUCGAGCAAGCCUGCCUCGUUCUGACCGUCCUCUUGAGCAGUUAUCAACUUACAGUGAUGCCCCCAAGUUCCCUGGGUUUCCCUCUGCAUCGACGGUCCCUUGUUGGGACACCUACAACUGCCUGUCAAGUAAAGUAAGCCAGACAGAGACACCGUGUGGUAUCACUUACAUGUGGAAUCUAAAAUAUGACACAAAUGAACCUAUUUACGCAACAGAAACAGGCUCACAGACACAGAGGACAGACUUGUAGUCGCCAAGGGGGAGGGAGGGGAGUGGGAAGGACUGGGAGUUUCGGAUUAGCAGAUACAAACUAUUACAUGUAAGUUGUAUAAACAACAAGGUCCUACAUAGCACAGGGAACUAUACUCAGAAUCCUGUGAUAAACCAUAAUGGAAAAGAAUAUGAAAGAAAUUGUAUAUAUAUGUAUGUAUAUGUAUAGACAAAUCCCACUUUGCUAUAGAGCAGAAAUUAACACAUUGUAAAUCAACUAUGCUUCAAUAAAAUUUUUAAAUAACAUGAAAAUUAAGAGACUAUCUCUGCCCAUCACAAGUUCAGUUGGCAUCAUUUUGGGUCUGAUGGGAGCCCUCCUGGCGCUAUUGCUCUAACCCUCAGAAGCCCUUCAGAAGGGCUGCAUGGUCAGACCGACCUAUGCCUUAGUUUAGUUACUGUUUUGAAAUAAAUUUAAAAUUUCAACCUGCCUUUUUUUAAGCGGGGUAGAAUGUUCUACAUUCAGACUCUCCCCUCUGCUCAUCAGUUUGGUUCGAGCUGGAAGGCCAAGGCUUUGGCAUCCACAGUGACCCAGCUUCAAGCCCUGACUCUGCUGCCAACCAGCUGUGUGACCUGAAGCAACUUGAUUAACCUCUCUGAGCUCAGCCUCCUUAUCUGUACCAUAGAAAGCAUGUCCCGUAACAACACGUGUAGGGAUCAACGGCAGUGUGUAGACAUAACACGCAAUACCUAGCAGAGACUCGUAAAGGGUACCUAUUUUUUAACAUCUAUUAGGUCCAUCAUUCAUGAAAUUGAGAGGGUCCAAGAUAAAUAUUGAUUCUCACAGUUUCUUAUUCUGCAUGACCAGGUUUGACCAAGAAAGUAGCAGCCUUUGGUGACCCUGAGCAUGUCUUAAUGACUUUGUGACUCUCAGGAGAUGCAGCAGAUGUUUAGACGGCAAAGGAAGGGCUGUGGACCAGAAACAGUCAGCUCGGCUCCCCCUGAGACCUGCAGAGCGUCGCUGAGCCCCGUCCCUGAGCUUUCCGGGUUCUUCCCACCUCACUGGCCGCCCCCCACAUGCUUCUCUGGGGCCUCUGCUUCCUCCUCGCCCUUUUCUCUCUGCUCCUGCCCCCCAGGUGUCUCCCAUCCCACCUCUAUACUAGCGAUUCCCAGGUUUUACAUCUGCAGCCUUGACCUGUGUCACAUGUUCCCAUCCAGAACACGUGACAUUACCGCUUGGAUACCAAGUGGAACCUCAGCCUUAAGGUGACCAAAUGAAGCCCUGGGCUGCACUCGGCUUCUCCAUUUGGAUGAAUAAGCCUCAUCUCAAACUCACUCUGUCCUUCUGCACCUGCUCCCCUACAGUCUCCCCUUCCAGGUAAAUGGCACCACCAUUCCACCUGCUGUUCACAUGCCACCUUGCCCCUGAGAUCUCUCCAGCAUCUGACCACUUCUCUCAUCACCUCCUGACCCUCUCAGGGUCAUGUCCUCAGCUCUUUACAGGGUCCACCAGCCUGGACACUGACUGACUCAUACCUGACCCCUGCCCCAUUCUUUCUUCCCCUUCACCCCCCCACGAUGUCUGCCUGGACCCUCGGUGUCCUCAAGCAAGUCUAGGGCUUGCUUGCCUUGGCACCUGCUGUUUCUCUGCUCAAAACAUCCCCCUUCAGACACCCAGAGGUCUCACUCCUCACUUCCCUUUGGUCUCUAGUCAAAUAGGACCCCCUGGAGCAGACCCCUACUUUCUGAUAUUAAAUGCAACCCCCAUAGCUAAUCAACACCGUCAGUUCCAUCCAUCCCACCCAUUUACCUUGGGAAUGGCACCCAUCACCUCCUGAUGACUAUUUACCUGGUGGUGGGUCCAUGACCUCCAGCUAGAACCUCUAGCCCGGAGAGCUGGGGUUUCGUCUUGGUACUGGUCACUCUCCUUGCCCCCCAGCUCCCGUCCGCCACCUUCUCUGCUCCCGCCCUGAGAGGCUGGCCCUGGAGGACAAUGCUAGCUUGCUCUCUUGCAAUGCCUCCCAGC